rnacentral:tRNA from 1 species
AGCUGAGUGGUAGAGCGCUUGAUUAGCAUGCAUGAGGCUCUGGGUUCAACUCCCAG